UAAUAAUAAAAAAAGUUUUUUUGAACACAUUCAUCAUUAUUUUUUUCUAAAAUACAAAUAUGCAUUAACUAUAUCCUACUGAAAAACAAAUACAUAAUUUUUAAAGCAUAAUUUGAGCUAAAAUAGAAACAUUUGUGAAUUAAUUGUUAACAUUUCAUUGCCUAUUCUAACAGCUGGAAUUCCACCAUAAUGGAAAAUUCUCCAUAUUUGCAUGCCUAAAAAAUGGCAAGGGGUGUUUCCAAGAUGGCCUCCAAGUGAACUGAGAUUAUUGUUUGACAGAGAAACCAAUCCUGUAUUACAGUUUGUCUCCUGUCAGACCAGGUUGUGGCUGACUGUUGCCAGUUCCAUGAUCUAACAUCUGAAUAGUGCCCCAAAAAAGGGAUGGCUGAUUUGAAAACCCAUAUGAGCAAGUCUUGACCUGGUUCAUAACAUUGUGAAUGCAAUACACUAGGGUUUGUGUGUCUUGGGGUUUGAGGGGAAUUGUGCUGGGUAAUUUCUUGGCAGCACCACUGGUGGAUAGUAUGUCUGUGAGGGAAAAGUGAAAAUUAAAAACAUCCACAGUGCUUUCUAAUUCUGUCUCUGCUGCUUUCACUGUCUAUAUCUCUCUCCCUCUCCCUCUCCCUGUUGGUAUGUGCCUUGUUAGACAAACACCACUCCCACGUCAUCAUUAAUACUGUAUUUAUGCCACUUUUUAUUGAAACAGAUUUAACAAUGCACAUAUUUAUAUACUCAGAUAUUAAACACUGAAAAGCCCAGACAUGCAUGUUUCCACUCCCUCCAGCACUAUGGCAGAACUUGCAAUACUUCUCUUAACAUAUUCUGACUAAAUCUCUGUUGCUUUGACAACUUUCCUGUGUUUUCAGAUAUCAGUCCUGCCCCGGGCUGGUUUUGGGGUAAUUACAUUUCGGCAGUUUUCGCCUUGAUGUUGGAAAAACACACUUUUUUGAAGACUUUUGUAGAGGCUGAGAAGGGUCUGGUGUCCCUCUGGGAGAUUUGGAGACCGGAGCCUCAUAUAUAAAAACGUACUUACUGUAUAAUCAUCCUUAACCCUGUAAAGCCUGACAUUUGAAAUGAUAGUCAGGAUUUUUUUUUCUUAAAUGGUUAAUUAAACUGAUUGAAUUGAAUUAAUUUUUUUAUUGAUGUAUUAUCAUAUUUUAUACAUCAUGCUUUCAUGGCUCAUAUAGCUUAAUAUUCAGUAGGAGAAUAUGGAGCUCAUACUCAAAGAGAAAAACUCAAUUUUACUCAGAGGCUGAAACUGAGGAAAAUAUGCAAUUUGAUGCAGUUGCUGAUGUUUUUAUGGUCCAAAAAUAAGUCAGAGAGCUUGUAA
ensembl:lncRNA